GACGAACGCUGGCGGCGUGCUUAACACAUGCAAGUCGAACGGUAAGGCCCUUUCGGGGGUACACGAGUGGCGAACGGGUGAGUAACACGUGGGUAAUCUGCCCUGCACUUCGGGAUAAGCCUGGGAAACUGGGUCUAAUACCGGAUAUGAUUUCUGACCGCAUGGUCUGGGAGUGGAAAGUUUUUCGGUGCAGGAUGAGUCCGCGGCCUAUCAGCUUGUUGGUGGGGUAAUGGCCUACCAAGGCGACGACGGGUAGCCGGCCUGAGAGGGUGAUCGGCCACACUGGGACUGAGACACGGCCCAGACUCCUACGGGAGGCAGCAGUGGGGAAUAUUGCACAAUGGGCGGAAGCCUGAUGCAGCGACGCCGCGUGGGGGAUGACGGUCUUCGGAUUGUAAACCCCUUUCAGUAGGGACGAAGCGCAAGUGACGGUACCUGCAGAAGAAGCACCGGCUAACUACGUGCCAGCAGCCGCGGUAAUACGUAGGGUGCGAGCGUUGUCCGGAAUUACUGGGCGUAAAGAGCUCGUAGGCGGUUUGUCACGUCGUCUGUGAAAUCCCUCGGCUUAACCGGGGGCGUGCAGGCGAUACGGGCAGACUUGAGUACUACAGGGGAGACUGGAAUUCCUGGUGUAGCGGUGAAAUGCGCAGAUAUCAGGAGGAACACCGGUGGCGAAGGCGGGUCUCUGGGUAGUAACUGACGCUGAGGGAGCGAAGCAUGGGGUAGCGAACAGG
rnacentral:rRNA from 1 species